rnacentral:rRNA from 1 species
CCGAGAUGAGUUCUCCCUGAGACCUUGAGUCUCCUGAAGGAACGUUGAAGACGACGACGUUGAUAGGUCGGGUGUGUAAGCGCAGCGAUGCGUUGAGCUAACCGAUACUAAUGAACCGUGAGGCUUAACCUUACAACGCCGAAG